CCCCUAGAUGUUCUGGGCCGCACGCGCGCUACACUGAACAGUUCAACAAGUCUUAACCUUGGCCGAUAGGUCUGGGUAAUCUUUGAACGCUGUUCGUGAUUGGGAUAGACCUUUGCAAUUAUGGGUCUUCAACGGGGAAUUCCUAGUAAACGCAAGUCAUCAGCUUGCAUUGAUUACGUCCCUGCCCUUUGUACACACCGCCCGUCGCACCUACCGAUUGAAUGGUCCGGUGAAAUCUCCGGACUGGCGUGAGUCGGAGCAAUCUGACAAACACCGGAAAGUUGAUUAAACCUUACCAUUUAGAGGAAGGUGAAGUCGUAACA
rnacentral:rRNA from 1 species